CAAAGUAUAGCAUACUUUUCUGAAUGAGAAAUAGCAGAAAUUGGGGCUGGUCUCCAGGGAAUGGGUCUAUGGUGGUGAUCAACUCUGGUCCUAACAACCUGUCAAUCUUCCAACUAGGAGUGAGACCCAGAGGAAUGGACAAUGGACAGAAUGCAAGCUAAAGCGGCUGAUUAAUGGAAAGACCCAGGGCCUCCUAGGAUAAAUUUUGUAAGAUAUUUCCAGAGGAAUAUAUAUUUUGCUUGAAGAAUAGCAUAAAUGAGUACUGAUUAAAGUUCUUUCAUUGAAGAUGGGAAGGGCUUUAAAU
rnacentral:lncRNA from 10 species